rnacentral:lncRNA from 1 species
UAGAAUCAAUUUGAAUGACACUUAAGCAAAUCAUCCUGUCCUUGGAAACGUUAAGCAAGCAUUGGAACUUCUUGUUCAGCAAAUGUGAAAUUAAAUUAUAGGAUUCAUUGUUCUUCGGCAAAGAUGGUUUCCCUAAAAAAGCAAUAUAUAACAUGAAGUAAUUUGUAAUUCACCUUUUUCUGUGUAGGUAUUUACAGAAGGACAAAGUUCAUGGUCCUGAAGGCAAUACCAUAUAUUAUAUGAGCUUGCUGAGAGAGUCUCAGAUGGACCAAUAUAUUAUAUGAGCUUGCUGAGAGAGCCUCAGAUGGACCAAUCAACAACAAAGUCAAGGAAUAUAUAACUCAGGU